UCCACUGCUCAAUUGGUAAAGCACAAAGCUCUUAACAUUGUGGACAUGGGUUCAAAGCCCCAUGGUGGAG
rfam:Triticum aestivum genome assembly, contig: Triticum_aestivum_CS42_TGACv1_scaffold_018960_1AS